AGGGAAUAUUGCGCAAUGGGGGAAACCCUGACGCAGCGACGCCGCGUGAGUGAUGAAGGCCUUCGGGUCGUAAAGCUCUGUCGCAAGGGAAUAACAAAAUGAAUGUACUUUGCAAGAAAGGAUCGGCUAACUUCGUGCCAGCAGCCGCGGUAAGACGAGGGAUCCUAGCGUUGUUCGGAAUCAUUGGGCGUAAAGCGGGUGUAGGUGGCUACAUAAGUCAGAUGUGAAAGCCUUGGGCUUAACCCAAGAAGUGCAUUUGAUACUGUGUAGCUUGAGUGUGGUAGAGGCUGCUAGAAUUCCUGGUGUAGUGGUGAAAUACGUAGAUAUCAGGAGGAAUACCGGAGGCGAAGGCGGGUAGCUGGGCCAACACUGACACUGAGACCCGAAAGCGUGGGGAUCAAAC
rnacentral:rRNA from 1 species